rnacentral:rRNA from 1 species
AACGAACGCUGGCGGCGCGUCUUAAGCAUGCAAGUCGGACGAAUGGCCACCCUCGGGUGGUCGGAAGUGGCGGACGGGUGAGUAACACGUGGGUAACCUGCCCCUCGGUGGGGAAUAGCACAUGGAAACAUGUGAUAAUACCGCAUGAGACGGCUUGGCGUAUGCCAAGUCGGGAAAGCCCCUGCGGGGGGCGCCGGGGGAUGGGCCCGCGGCCCAUUAGCUAGUUGGCGGGGUAAAGGCCCACCAAGGCGACGAUGGGUAGCCGGACUGAGAGGUUGAACGGCCACAUUGGGAUUGAGAACGGCCCAGACUCCUACGGGAGGCAGCAGCUAAGAAUCUUCCACAAUGGACGGAAGUCUGAUGGAGCGACGCCGCGUGGACGACGAAAGGCCGUGAGGUUGUAAAGUCCUUUUCGGUAGGGGAAUAACCGCGGAGGGAAUGCCGUGGGAUGACGUGAAUCCCGGAAUAAGCCCCGG